AAGACGAGGAUAACAAUCGGAAACGGUUGCUAAGACUGGAUAGGAAACAGAAAGGCAUCUUUUUGUUUUUAAAAGACCUUCUUCGGAGGGUAUGUUUAAAGAGGGGCUUGCGCCACCUUAGUUAGUUGGUGAGGUAAAGGCUUACCAAGAUUAUGAUGUGUAGCUGGACUGAGAGGUUGAACAGCCACAUUGGGACUGAGACACGGCCCAAACUCCUACGGGAGGCAGCAGUAGGGAAUUUUCGGCAAUGGAGGAAACUCUGACCGAGCGACGCCGCGUGAACGAUGAAGUAUUUCGGUAUGUAAAGUUCUUUUAUUGAAGAAGAAAAAAUAGUGGAAAAACUAUCUUGACGUUAUUCAAUGAAUAAGCCCCGGCUAACUAUGUGCCAGCAGCCGCGGUAAGACAUAGGGGGCGAGCGUUAUCCGGAAUUAUUGGGCGUAAAGGGUGCGUAGGCGGUUAGAUAAGUCUAUAAUUUAAUUUCAGUGCUUAACGCUGUCUUGUUAUAGAAACUGUCUUGACUAGAGUGAGAUAGAGGCAAGCGGAAUUCCAUGUGUAGCGGUAAAAUGUGUAAAUAUAUGGAGGAACACCAGAAGCGUAGGCGGCUUGCUGGGUCUUUACUGACGCUGAGGCACGAAAGCGUGGGGAGCAAACAGGAUUAGAUACCCUGGUAGUCCACGCUGUAAACGAUGAGUACUAAGUGUCGGGGAAACUCGGUACUGAAGUUAACACAUUAAGUACUCCGCCUGAGUAGUACGUACGCAAGUAUGAAACUUAAAGGAAUUGACGGGACUCCGCACAAGCGGUGGAUCAUGUUGUUUAAUUCGAAGAUACACGAAAAACCUUACCAGGUCUUGACAUACUCUGCAAAGCUAUAGAAAUAUAGUGGAGGUUAUCAGGGAUACAGGUGGUGCAUGGUUGUCGUCAGUUCGUGUCGUGAGAUGUUAGGUUAAGUCCUAAAACGAACGCAACCCCUGUCGUUAGUUGCCAGCACGUAAUGGUGGGGACUUUAGCGAGACUGCCAAUUAAACAUUGGAGGAAGGUGGGGAUAACGUCAAAUCAUCAUGCCCCUUAUGAUCUGGGCUACAAACGUGAUACAAUGGCUAUUACAAAGAGUAGCUGAAACGCGAGUUUUUAGCCAAUCUCAAAAAGGUAGUCUCAGUACGGAUUGAAGUCUGCAACUCGACUUCAUGAAGCUGGAAUCGCUAGUAAUCGCGAAUCAGCAUGUCGCGGUGAAUACGUUCUCGGGGUUUGUACACACCGCCCGUCAAACCACGAAAGUUAGCAAUACCCGAAAGCAGUGGCUUAACUUCGCAAGAAGAGGGAGCUGUCUAAGGUAGGGUUGAUGAUUGGGGUUAAGUCGUAACAAGGUAUCC
rnacentral:rRNA from 1 species